rnacentral:rRNA from 1 species
GCCACCGACGGGGCCGCUGCGGGGGUAAGAACGUGGGUGGGUGGCGUUGCCGGAAAUACUGGGCGUAAAGGGCUCGUCGGGUGGUGGUCACGUCGUCCGUGAAAACUCGGAGCUUAACUCCGGGCUUGCGGGCGAUACGGGCAGACUUGAGUACUACAGGGGAGACUGGAAUUCCUGGUGUAGCGGUGAAAUGCGCAGAUAUCAGGAGGAACACCGGUGGCGAAGGCGGGUCUCUGGGUAGUAACUGACGCUGAGGAGCGAAAGCAUGGGGAGCAAACAGGAUUAGAUACCCUUGUAGUC